rnacentral:rRNA from 1 species
GAUGAACGCUGGCGGCGUGCCUAAUACAUGCAAGUCGAGCGAACAGACGAGGAGCUUGCUCCUCUGACGUUAGCGGCGGACGGGUGAGUAACACGUGGAUAACCUACCUAUAAGACUGGGAUAACUUCGGGAAACCGGAGCUAAUACCGGAUAAUAUAUUGAACCGCAUGGUUCAAUAGUGAAAGACGGUUUUGCUGUCACUUAUAGAUGGAUCCGCGCCGCAUUAGCUAGUUGGUAAGGUAACGGCUUACCAAGGCAACGAUGCGUAGCCGACCUGAGAGGGUGAUAGGCCACACUGGAACUGAGACACGGUCAAGACUACUACGGGAGGCAGCAGUAGGGAAUCUUACGAAAUGGGCGAAAGCCUGACGGAGCAACGCCGCGUGAGUGAUGAAGGUCUUCGGAUCGUAAAAAUCUGUUAUUAGGGAAGAACAAAUGUGUAAGUAAAUAUGCACGUAUUGACGGUACCUAAUCAGAAAGCCACGGCUAACUACGUG